rnacentral:lncRNA from 1 species
UUAGUCAGAGGCCACCAAUGUUGGGUUACAUUUUGUUAGUAGACACCCUUUUAUCAUCUUUUGUAUUUGAUGAUUUAGUGAUGUAAAGAAAGAAUGUAAUGCUUAUUUUGAGGUAAAAGUGAUGUAAGAAAGAAAUGAUGAAAUGAUGUAAUGAAUGUAAGAAUUUGAUAAAUUACUAGAUGAAUGUAAUGUAUAUGAUCAAAAACGAAUCAUAGUACAAGUGAAUGUUCAGUUU